UUCUGAAUGAGCCUACCAUGGGGAACCAUCCACUGUUUACCCAUUGCUUUCAAUUUUUUUCUUCUUCAAUCUUGGACCCAUAUGAAUAUUUUAAACCCCUUAUGAAGAUUUCCAUUGUCAUUGUCUCACCACCAAGACUCAAAAGGUUCAAUCCCCUGAUCAUCGGUUUUCCCAAUUCCAACUCUAACUUUGUGACAUAACCGCAGGCUAUCCCAUGAACUGUAAUUACUUCACAUUUGUUUAUCAGACUCUCAAAUGCAGAUUCUUUCAAUUAAUCUUUUAGAAAUUAAAAUAUAAAUCAUUCGAUUAAACACCGUAACAACAUCAUCUCCAGCUGCAAACUCCAUCCCUCUCUCUGGCAGUCUUGAAAUUAAAUCAGCUUGUUUGCAACCUUGGUGUCAAACUUGAUACUGAAAUGUGUUUCCAAUCAGAUGUAUUUGUGCCAUUACCCUAUCUAGCCUGACUCAACUCAUCUGCUGCUGAAACCCUCAUUUCUGCUUUUGAACUUGAUUAUUUCAAUGCAUUUCUUGCUGCUCUCUCACCUUUUACUCUCUAUAAAAUAGAAAUCAAACUGCCCUUAACUCAUUCCAAAUCCUAUCCCCCCCCCACAUCACCCCAAUGGUUGCUGAGCUACAUUGACUCCUGAUCAAUUAAUGUUCGGAUUUUAAAAUUCUCUUAUCUCCAAAUUCCCAACUCUAAUCUCCUCCAGUCCCAUAAUCUCGGAAAUAUCUGCUCCUCUAAUUCUGGCCUCUUGAAUCACCAUGCUUUAAUUGCACCUUACCUAUCUAAGCUCAAAACUCUGAAAUCAUAGAAAAAUGGACUUGUGACAGUGCAGAAGGCCAUUCAACUACAUUUGUCCAUACUUGGAAGGAACAGUUCACUUACAGCCACUCCCCUGCCUUCUUCAUACAGGUCCGCACUUUCUUUCAGAUAACAAUCCAUUUCUCUCAUUAAUUCCUCAAAUGAAUCUGCCUUCAUCACACACACAGACAGCAUAUUCCACAUCCAAAUCACUUCCUCGGUGAAAAAGAUUUCUACAUGUCAUCAUUGUUUUUGACAUAAAGAGAUGUGAAGCUUGAAAAUCCAAACCUGAAAAAUGUACUUGCAUUGUAUUCUUGAAUAAUGUGUGUGUGUGUGUGUGUGUGUUUGUAUUUUGAUGCAUUUAUGUCACUUACUGCUUUAGCUUGCACCAAGGGAAAAAGCCAGUUUGAACUACAAUCAAAAACUGAAAGAAAAAUUCCAACAUCAUCCUCACAUCAAACGUAUCGCCCGUCACCGCCAUUUGCCAAAAAUGAUUUACAAUCAGUCGAAGGAACUUCGUAUCAUGAGGGAAGCUCGCCGCAGAAAGGAACUGAAUCGCCGCCAGCACAGAAAGCCAGGCUCUCUGCCAUUGGUCUCCGAGAAGAAGAAGCACAUUGUUGCUGUGGUAAAAUAGUUGUUCUGUGAGGG